rnacentral:rRNA from 1 species
UACGUAGGUGGCGAGCGUUGUCCGGAUUUAUUGGGUUUAAAGGGUGCGUAGGCGGCUUUGUAAGUCAGUGGUGAAAUACUCCAGCUUAACUGGAGGGGUGCCAUUGAUACUGCGGAGCUUGAGUACAGAUGAGGUAGGCGGAGUUGACGGUGUAGCGGUGAAAUGCAUAGAUAUCGUCAAGAACACCGAUAGCGAAGGCAGCUUACUGGGCUGUAACUGACGCUGAUGCACGAAAGUGUGGGGAUCAAACAGG